AUCAGAAGCUCAAUCCACUCCUUAUAAAACUGUAAAAUUACAAACAUCAUUCCUAUAAACUCCGCCACUCUUCACGCCCAUUUGCAGUUAUCGCGGGAGAACCUACAAACAUUUCUAAGCUUGUUAUCGGUUUUAUCCUCUUUUCUAGCUGAGGCAUGAGCUUGAAACCACACUAUAAACAUGAGUAAUGUGACUGAAGAUAGCAACGAUACGGGGUAUAGUAGGCCUCUUGAAGGGAUGGCAGGUGUUAUUGCAUUACUCGGUAAAAUGCAUGAGGAUACAAACGUUACACUACUACAUUUGUUCACUCGAAUUGGACAUGAGGUUGAUUUAAGCAAAACGAGAAGGGAGUUGUUCAAUCUCUUGGGUAAUAUACCCAAUCUUUCACUAACUGACAAAUUCGUUGUUUGUGAGACUCUUGGAGGAAAUCCGGCACGGCUAGAUCUGUUUAUGGGGCUGCCUGAUUCUGUGAAACCUGCGUAUGUCUCGCGUGUUCUCAAGGAGAAGGGGAAGCGUCUGGAAUAAGCAAUCUUUGUAACCAAGUAUUGGCUGUGAUAUGUAGGAAAGCUUUUGAUGAUAUAUAUUUUGUUGAUGGUGUGUACUUUUGGUUACCGGAAAUAUGAGAACUUUUGGUGAUAUGUAAAUAUUGUGACCUUUUAUGGUACUUGACAGCUUGGUAUUA